AUACUACUCCCUCUGUCCGAAAAUACUUGUCAUCAAAAUAGAUAAAAGGGGAUGUAUCUAGACGUAUUUUAGUUCUAGAUGCAUCUUUUUUAUCCAUUUUGAUGACAAGUAUUUUCGGACGGAGGGAGUAUAUA
rnacentral:pre_miRNA from 1 species